AACUCUCGACAACAGAUAUCUUGGCUCUCGCCAUGAUGAAGAACAUAGCAAAAUGUGAUACUUGGUGUGAAUUGCAAAAUCCCGUGAAUCAUCGAGUCUUUGAACGCAAGUUACGCCCGAGGCUGAGGGCACGCCUGCCUAGGCGUCA
rnacentral:rRNA from 1 species